rnacentral:rRNA from 1 species
AGACGGGGGGUGCUAGCGUUGCUCGGAAUCACUGGGCGUAAAGGGCGCGUAGGCGGCAUAGCAAGUUAAGGGUGAAAUCCCGAGGCUCAACCUCGGAACUGCUCUUAAAACUGCUAAGCUAGAGUCUGGGAGGGGAAGAUGGAAUUCGUUGUGUAGGGGUAAAAUCCGUAGAGAUAACUAGGAAUACCAAAAGCGAAGGCGAUCUUCUGGAACGGUACUGACGCUGAGGCGCGAAAGCGUGGGGAGCAAACAGGAUUAGAUACCCCGGUAGUCC